CGGAAGGCAGUGACAGCGCUCGGGAGAUUUUUCAGCCUUCUAAGAGGACCAAAUCUGAAGUGCGGUCGUAUUUUGGGUUUUAGGGGAACUUAAUCGAAGAUGGUCACCCUGUCUGCAGAACAUGCAAAUAAAAAAAAUUGCUGCGAAAGUGGGCAACACUUGUGACCAACACCCACUACUUUAUAGCGAAUGCAAGAGUGGGCGUGCAGCAGGCAAACCCAGUGAUGCUACUGGUCCCUCCUCAUCUACAGUUGUAACACACCUGAGCAAGCAUUUAAAAAAGGCAGGCUGCUUAUGCACCCACAUCAAAAAAUGCUCAAGACCUAACUGCAGCCCUUUCAUUAAGUUGAGAGGCCUGGCUUUCUGAGGCUGAUGAAGGUUGCUGUGCCUCACUACAAAGUGAGUGCUGCUAAUUCUAUUUGUUUGUUUGUUUAUUUGAUUGCUAAGGUUGUGUUCAUUUAAACCUGCACUAGGGAAACUUUUACCUCAUGGCCACAUGUGCCAUCGUUAAUGUUAUUAUUUUAAUGUUUAUGCGCACAAAAAGUGCAUAGUGCUGCUAAUUCUAUUUGUUGGUUUUCAAUAUAAAACUUGGUGAAAUGA